rfam:Lactobacillus oryzae DNA, contig: sequence01, strain: SG293.
GAGAAAAAGUAGAGGCUCCCGCUUCUCGCCUGAAUGGUUUUAAACCGUUGGGCAAAUUACGAUUAAAACCUGAAUUUUCGCAAGAAUGACAGGACUUAAUUUGGCGGGCGCUUAGGCGCUCGCCUUUUUAUUUAAUA